rnacentral:rRNA from 1 species
CCUACGGGUGGCAGCAGUGAGGAAUAUUGGUCAAUGGGCGCGAGCCUGACCCAGCAAAGUCGCGUGAAGGAUGACUGCCCUACGGGUUGUAAACUUCUUUUAUAAAGGAAUAAAGUGAGGCAAGUGUGCCUUUUUGUAUGUCCUUUAUGAAUAAGGGUAGGCUAACGCCGUGCCAGCAGCCGCGUCAAUACGGAGCAUAUGUGCGUAAUCCGGAUUUGUUUGGGUUAAAGGGAGCGUAGAGGGGUUGUUAAGUCAGUUGUGAAAGUUUGCGGCUCAAACGUAUACAUGCAAUUGAUACUGGCAGUCUGGAGUACAGUUGAGGUAGGCGGAAUUCGUGGUGUAGCGGUGAAAUGCUUAGAUAUCACGAAGAACUCCGAGUGCGAAGGCAGCGUACUAAACUGCCACUGACAUUGAUGCUCGAAAGUGUGGGUAUCAAACAGGAUUAGAUACCCUAGUAGUC